UUGUUAGUCGUAUACCUCGAAAUCAAAAAAUCCUUAUAGCUUUUCACCUAUUCGCAUUUCGCUGUGAUGUCAAAAUUUCUGAAUAGAUUUUUAUUCUUGUAGUAUAAUUUUUGAUCGCUACUCACAAUUGUCUGAAAAAUUCAUCGUAGAUUUACUUUCCUGCCUGUCUUCACUGUAGUCGCUUUUCACCUUGAUAGAUAUUUGUUUAUAUAAUAAUAAUAUA